CACGUAGGCACCAAGCGUUGUCCGGAUUUAUUGGGCGUAAAGAGCUCGUAGGCGGUUGAGUAAGUCGGGUGUGAAACUCUGGGCUUAACCCAGAGCCGCCACUCGAUACUGCUCUGACUUGAGUACGGUAGGGGAGCAGGGAAUUCCUAGUGUAGCGGUGAAAUGCGCAGAUAUCAGGAGGAACACCGGUGGCGAAGGCGGCUUGCUGGGCCUUACCUGACGCUGAGGAGCGAAAGCGUGGGGAGCGAACAGG
rnacentral:rRNA from 1 species